UACGAAGGGGGCGAGCGUUGUUCGGAUUUACUGGGCGUAAAGGGCGCGCAGGCGGCUCAUCAAGUCAGGCGUGAAAGCCCCGGGCUUAACCUGGGAGGUGCGUCUGGGACUGAAGGGCUAGAGUUCGGGAGAGGAGAGUGGAAUUCCCAGUGUAGAGGUGAAAUUCGUAGAUAUUGGGAAGAACACCGGUGGCGAAGGCGGCUCUCUGGACCGAGACUGACGCUGAGGCGCGAAAGCGUGGGGAGCAAACAGG
rnacentral:rRNA from 1 species